UCGAAAGGCAGGAGUGCCCGCAAGGGAGCGCGGAGACAGGUGAUGCAUGGCUGUCGUCAGCUCGUGUCGUGAGAUGUUGGGUUAAGUCCCGCAACGAGCGCAACCCUCACCCCUUGUUGCCACCAGGUGAUGCUGAGCACUCUAGGAGAACUGCCCCGGUCAACGGGGAGGAAGGCGGAAACGACGUCAAGUCAUCAUGCCCCUUACGUCCUGGGCUACACACGUGCUACAAUGGCCGGUACAGAGGGAUGCUAGACCGCGAGGUAGAGCUAAACCCAAAAAGCCAGUCUAAGUUCAGAUUAAAGUCUGCAACUCGACUCCAUGAAGGAGGAAUCGCUAGUAAUCGCGUAUCAGCACGACGCGGUGAAUACGUUCCCAGGCCUUGUACACACCGCCCGUCACACCACGAAAGCCAGCUGUACUCGAAGUCGCUGAG
rnacentral:rRNA from 1 species